UUAAGUUAAUAGAUAAACUAUUAAAUUUCAAAUUUAAAAAUAUAGAUCAAAUCAUAAAUUUUA
rnacentral:tRNA from 1 species